ACUUAAUAUCAAACCGGCAGGCACCUAGUAGGGGCAGUGAGAUACCUUUUCUAGAAGGUAAUGUUGCUGCCACCUCCACACCUGAUAUGGCCAUGACGGGUGUCCCUCUGGUCGCGUCUUUGGGGUUAACGGUGUCUACAGCUGCUACGUCAUCGACUUUUUAGGUGAUGCAUUUUGUCUGAAGCGCCCGACAGACUCAUCGACGGGCUCGGACUUCUGAGGAGGCUCAGCUGAUUGGUGACGCUUCCUCUGUCUAUGAAGAGGGGUCCCAAACAGGUAAGCUCGCUCCCUCCAUCCUUUCCGCAUUCUCCUCUUCUUCUGGUGUAUAUUAGUGUAGAUAGCUUAUAUGCAAACACAUUUAACCAAAAAAAAUAGGGACCAUAUAAUUAUGGACAUGCUCAUUUAAACUGAUUAUAUAUCCUUGACUGUAUAUUAGGGUUGGGCACGGGCCAGGCUGGGCCUAAAUUUGAAGGAACCUGGCCCUACCGUUUUAAAAUGUAACGGGCUGAGCUGGGCCGGGUAAAAGGAUUUAGAGUUUAGGAAUCGAACCUAACUCGGCCCGUUUGAAACAGGCUGGUUCGAGACAGGUCCACAAGUCCUAUUACUUUAUUUUAUUUUAUUUUUUGGUUUUGGAACGGCGCCGGUCUACUCCUUAAGCUUCAUGAGCUCGUCGGAAUUAGCCUCCGCAUUGGCUUGUAAUUUUUGACUUGACCCAAAUCAAUAUCAAAUCUCCGAUACAAACUUCAAAUUCAUAAACAUUUACUCAUAACAAUGGAUCGUUCACCCAGGGAGGAGUGAGAGAAGGCAGAGCAGAAGUAGAAUGGAAGGGAUCGUCCACUUCCCUAUCAUUGCAACUUGAAAACACUUCAAAGAAGAAGUUCUAGUAACUUCGCUCACUGAUAUUUAUCUAUUUCUAGGUUAAUUUCCCUAUAUCUAAAAAACCAAAACCCAAAAAUCGAAUCCCUUUUCGACUCAUGCAUGCCUUCGAAAUCAAUUGAAUUUCAAAAACAAGAACACUGAAUUGACAGAAAUUUCCCAAACAGAAAGGUAUGCAGAGAUUUCCCAAAUAGAAGGAUAUGCAGAAAUUUCCGAAACAGAAGGAUAUGUAAAAAUUUCCAUUUGGUUCAAUUAUGCAGGCACAACAAGGAUAUUUAGAGAUAUGUAUGAAGGUACAACCUUCUCAAGCUCGUCUUGGACCUCCUGCAACUACUCGAUGGAGAUGACGAUGAAGGCUUUUACCUCCUCAACGUCGAGAAGAUGACGCUCUCAUAGGUCCAGUCCUCGCGGCGAAAAUGUAGAGAAAAUUAGCAAAAUCCAAAUUGGGGUUUUGGGCUAAAAGCUAAAAAUGCAUGAUUUGUGGAAAACCCUAGUUGGGAUUAAGAACUUGAAGAAGAAGAAGAAGGUUCGAGGAGAGAGAAGAGAGAGAGAUUGUGGGAGAUGGAAAUGUGGCUGAAACUGAGAGAGUAAAUUCUGGAACCUUGGACUCGGGUAGAAACUAGGGUAGAAACCAACGGUUGAAAUUGGAUGAUAGGUUAUCAUUCAAUCUCGCCCUUUCAUUAUAAUUAGAAACGGGUCGGUUUGGGUACCCGUUUUUCUAAGUGUCUGGACUCGGCCUACCCCAUAAAUGAAAAGGGAUCGGCUCGACCCGCCCUGUUUGUUUUCUAAAAUAUUAGAAACCAACCCGUACCCAUCCUGACCUGCGGUUCCUAUACCUGUUUGCCCACCCUAAUUGUACACACCAGCUUAUGGUACUUCAAGCACAAUAAUCAUUUUUAGCUUGUUUUCAAAUAGCAUCAUAAUUAAAUACUAUUCUUGAAUUUUGAAGAAACUUGUAUGAUUCAUAAGAGCUAAACACACCUCCUUAAAAACCAAAUGUGAUAUAAAAGGAAGCAUAUAUUAGCUGUUGUAAGUAUAAUUGUGUUCACUGUAACAUUAACCACAAAUCUCUCAUCCUUUGUAGAAUAUGUUUAUACAAAAUGCCUCUUCUUUAGCAGCCGCCUUACGCAUAUACAAAUUUAUAUAUAAAGAGCAUAUUAUCAUGUAUGUGUUAGAGAAUGAGCGUAGGUUGAAACUACCCAACUUAACUAAGGACUGCUCUCCCAUUGUCAAAUUUCAUAAUCUGCACCGAUAGCUACCAUAAUCUGCACAGUCAAUGCAGUGCAGUGCAAUCUUGUAAGUACCUUAACAAAAAUUAGAGCAUUUUAGUUUCAUUUCUGCAUUUCAAUAGGGGAAGUGAAUAACAUGCAUGCUAGCUAGUUAUUUUGAAUUGUGAUUUAGAUUAAUCAUUGUUAAGUAGCACUGAGAAGUCAUAUUAACAAGUUGUAAAUUUUGUUUUAAAGUCCCCAUUUGGCAUAAAUUGUUUGAAUUGUUGGGUGGAUGUGUUUGUUUAUGUUAUAUUGUUUGCAAGUUUUAGGAAAUGUUAUAGUUUUAGGGGAGGUUCUGCCGAAAGACCAGGGGCCCUUGUAGACUCCAAAAGACUUCUCAGACCACACGCACCACGACCUAGAAGAUCACCAUUACGUGGGAUCCUCGACAUCGCGGCUGUAACAAAGGAGUAGCAUAGUGCGUUGGCCACCGACGUUGGCUCCGUUAUCCGAAACCAUUGCCCCCUCAAGUGGGAGUCAUAGAGAGUUGUGCCAUAAGAAACCAAGGACGCCAUGCUUUAUGAAUUAUCGCAUCACUAUGAGCUAUCCAACCUCGAUUCCAACCAAAUGGAGUACAUCAACGACCUUUGCUCCAGUAGGUUUACUCAAUGGAAGAGCGACCUCCACAAGCAUUAUGAGCUAUAUGAUGGUCUAGAGGUCACUCUAGAAUUUGGGUGCCCUAAAGAGUUGCUGGAUUGUUGGGAUGAAUGGGAGUGGCUCUGCAGCCAUUUUCAAGACGAGAAAUACUUGUGAAGGCAAACUUAAUCAAUCGGUCGAAGAAGAAAGUUCUUCACCGAUUCGGGUCACGACGCUUCUCUUAUAUGUUGGAGGAGCAACGUAAGGUAACCAUAUAUUUAUUUUAAGUUUUCAAUCUUUUUCUCUUUAUUACACAAUUGGUAAUCUAUGUUAACACUUUUUAAAUUAUUUCAAGGGGGUCAAAGUUUCUUGAAAUUGACAUGUUCAAGGAGGUGUACGUUCGGCCCAGGGAUGAGCUGACAGAGUAAGUAGCUUCAUUCCAUUAUGGUGGAGUAAGGCCAGACAGUCCUGGAGGAGGUAGCUUCUCAGCUUCCCCUAGAGACCCCGAUCAAGGAGGUGUUUCCCCCUGAAGAUGUUAGGUUUCAGAUCAUGACCGACACACUUGAUCAGACCCUUGGUCGUCGGCAUGUGAAUGUUCACCGGGGGCUUGGGAAAGCCCGCCUUCGGGACCUGUCUGCCUUAUCCUCCAGGCAGAGAACUGGACAGGUCGAAACACUGACAAUUGUAGUGGCGGGCUUGUAAGAGAGGAUUGCGACCCAAUAGUCUCAGAUAGUGGCCUAAAACAAUUUCAUGAACCAAUUACGUCGCGCAGUUCAGAUUUUUGGCAUUCACUUCCCCGAUGUUUAACUAACUCCAGAACCAACCCCCCCAGCCCCUCGCCGUAGUAGCUACAUCUUCUCAGCCCCCUGCCACAGCAGCUAUGACCUCCUAGCCUCUUGCCGCAGCAACUACGAC